AACCUCCGCAAUGUGAGAAAUCGCGACGGGGGGAUCCCAAGUGCCAUUCUUAACGGGAUGGCUUUUCAUUAGUGUAAAGAGCUUUUGGAAUAAGAGCUGGGCAAGACCGGUGCCAGCCGCCGCGGUAACACCGGCAGCUCUAGUGGUAGCAAUUUUUAUUGGGCCUAAAGCGUCCGUAGCCGGUUUAAUAAGUCUCUGGUGAAAUCCUGUAGCUUAACUAUGGGAAUUGCUGGAGAUACUAUUAGACUUGAGACCGGGAGAGGUUAGAGGUACUCCCAGGGUAGAGGUGAAAUUCUGUAAUCCUGGGAGGACCGCCUGUUGCGAAGGCGUCUAACUGGAACGGUUCUGACGGUGAGGGACGAAAGUUAGGGGCGCGAACCGGAUUAGAUACCCGGGUAGUCCUAACUGUAAACGAUGCGACUUGGUGUUGGGGUGGCUUUGAGCUGCUCCAGUGCCGAAGGGAAGCUGUUAAGUCCGCCGCCUGGGAAGUACGGCGCAAGACUGAAACUUAAAGGAAUU
rnacentral:rRNA from 1 species